GUACCCAAAUAGAAUAAAGGAAUACAACUUGAUCAUAGAAGCGGGGAGUUUUACACUUACUGAAACAGAUCUAUUUCAACUAAGAAAAAGGGAAAAAAACACAUUCUGUAUAGCCCCUGCUGGUUAAAUGCCUCCCUGUAGUAUAAAAGGAAAAUCAGGGAUUUCAUCUGCAAUUGGGUGAAGAGUGGGUCUCUAUCCUCUGAGGUGAUAACCAGCCUUUCCCUAUGAUUCUGCCUACAGAAGGAUAUGUCCCUAGAAUGGCUACAUCACUAAUUGCAGAAGAUACCUGAAAAUGACUGUGUCUAUGAGCAGUGUGGCCCUAAAGCAAAGGGUUUCUACAACAAAACAACCAGUGUUAAACCUGACAUAACACUUCCUGGAAAGUGUUUAUUUCAGCUCACUUCUAACCUGGUCCUGUAGGCUUGGGGAACCGCCAUGGACAUGCGUGUCCCCCAGCCUCCCUGUGCCAGCUCCCUGUGCCAGCCGUGCCAGGGCCAGCAUGGAAGCUCACCUGCCUCCAGGGGAGCAUUCCUGCCUGGCACUCACACAGCUGGUACCGGCAGCCAGGAGGUGACACCGAGCACCUUACAGGCAGGCCAUGACUGAACAAAUGGCUCCACACAGGAGCCAUCGGUGCUCCUCUACCUACCCAGGGAGAAGCCAAGCCACACGCUGCUCAUUGUGCAGCUGCAUCUCAGCACAGGCUGAAAGAUGCACUCAAGAAACAUCUUCUGUUCAGACUACUGCAGCCACACGGCCAGCGGCUCCCAGCCGUGCUGCCACAGCUCUCUUCAGUGCAACACGCUCAGUGGAGCCAGAAUCUCUGGUAAAUAUAGAACCAUUCACGUUAAAGUAUUUUUAAACAGCUCCGUAUAGUUCUUUACUCACAAGAAAAACAAUUUCCACCCCAAUUAAAUAUUUAAUCUGAGAAGCCACAAGGGAAUAACCUUCAGGACAGAAGAGGGUUAACAGCACCAGCAGUUGCCAUGCAAGUAAAUUUGCAAAGGGAAGACUGAGGGGUGGAUACUGUGAGGCACAGAUCAACAUGUAACAGCCAGCCAUGAGACAAGCAAGCCACUGUAGCUCCAAGGGAACAGAAACUGCUCUGCAUGUGCUCAAGUGCAUCCUCUCUUCAUUAGAAAUACACAGAUAAGCAAGAAGAGGCAUUAGGAAAGCCACUUUUGCUCAAUCAGGAAGAUAUAUCAGGUUUGCUUUGUAUGCUGAACUCCGAAGAGAAUGUGCUCAAAGACACUCAUGGCAACAGAAAGUCCGGGAACAACACAAAGGAGGAAAAAGGAUUACACUUUUUCAAGCUUUUGAGAACUACAGUGAAUGUCUCAAAAGAAAUAAGUGCAGAUCUAUGUAAAACAGCAUUUUUAAAGACAGACUGGUUUCUGACUGUAGACAAAACUGUAGGAAAUGGCCUUUGUUAAAUACACAUGGAAUGUGGUACUCUCAGUAGGCUGGCUACAGAUUGAACAAAUGACUUCUAAAUAAAACAGCAUGAGCUUCAACAUCUUCCACUAAAACAUCUGACUUCUUUGCCAAAGAUGCAACACACUCAGCUUCUGUAAACAUCCCCAACUUGCAGUAUUGGUUUAAAAUGAUAAAAUGCAACCUUCUACCUAAACAAUCCAAAACCCUGCAACAUAAAAUCAAGCAUAAAUAAUCUACAAAAAGCCAUGGCUCAUAGCAAAACCACCAGAAAAAUUUCUUCACUCAUAACUGCAUUUUUAAAAAAAAAUUAUAUGUCACGAACCAAAACCUUUUUGAAAUGUGUAAGCUGCUAGUCCAUAUUGUAUACAUUGUCUCUUUGGCAAUCCAGAACACAUUUUCCUGAACGCUUGUGGUAGCAAAGAACACAUUUCAGAAAUAUUUUCAAACUUCACAUUUUAAAAAACAACAAAGAGGGAACCCAUGGAGUGAACUCCAAAUUCUGUAGUGUAAUUUUCUACUGUGUUUGCAGGAGUGGCUGUUAGUCACUGAAAAGUAUGAUGCUGCACCCCCUGCACGCCACCUUUGGAGUCUUUGUGACAGUCCGUGAAACAUCCAUCCUGGAAGAUAUGAAAAAACUUUGUUGGACACAGCCCUCAGCAACCUGCUCUGCUUGACCCUGCUCUAAGCUGGAAAGAUGGUCCAGAUCAAUGAUCUCCAAAGCAGACUAUGCAUAAGACAAGCCAUAUCAAUGUGGGAAGAAAAUAUUUUCUGUGCAAUAAAUAAAUUAUUUUUUUAAAAAAUUAGGUAGACUUGUAUUUCAUCUUUAUAGUUUUGUUUUUUUUUUUUAAUUCCAUUCUGGUGUGGUUUUUUUAUAAUGCAUGUAAAAUAUUAGUAUAGUGACAAUACAUGAAUAAAUAUACAAAUAGGGGGGAUGUAUGUUCAAAAAUAUUUUGCUGGUAUGCAAUCAAUAAAAUGCAGAGACCACAUGUUUAGAUCA